rnacentral:rRNA from 1 species
UACGGAGGGUGCAAGCGUUAUCCGGAUUCACUGGGUUUAAAGGGUGCGUAGGCGGGCUGAUAAGUCAGUGGUGAGAGCUCCGAGCUUAACUUGGAAACUGCCAUUGACACUGCCAGUCUUGAAUGUCGUAGAGGUAAGCGGAAUGUUGCAUGUAGCGGUGAAAUGCUUAGAUAUGUUACAGAACACCAAUUGCGAAGGCAGCUUACUAUGCGAUGAUUGACGCUGAGGCACGAAAGCGUGGGGAGCAAACAGG